rnacentral:lncRNA from 1 species
AAUGAAAGGCACUAAUUGGACAUUGCACUUCAAGAACUGUGCAGUCUCCCGAAGGGUGGGGUGCAUGAGUUGAAAACAUUUUAAGAAAUAUACACAAGGAAGUGCAAUUCAGUGUAGAAGAGAAAGAACACAGAUGCACGACACUGCAGGGGCAGAGGAAAGAGAAAGAAUACAGAUGCACGACACUGCAGGGGCAGAGGAAAGAGAAAGAACACACAUGCACGACACUGCAGGGGCAGAGGAAAGAGAAAGAACACAGAUGCACGACACUGCAGGGGCAGAGGAAAGAGAAAGAACACACAUGCACGACACUGCAGGGGCAGAGGAAAGAGAAAGAACACACAUGCACGACACUGCAGGGUCAGAGGAAAGAGAAAGAACACACAUGCACGACACUGCAGGGGCAGAGGAAAGAGAAAGAACACACAUGCACGACACUGCAGGGGCAGAGGGAAGAGAAAGAACACACAUGCACGACACUGCAGGGGCAGAGGAAAGAGAAAGAACACAGAUGCACGACACUGCAGGGGCAGAGGAAAGAGAAAGAACACACAUGCACGACACUGCAGGGGCAGAGGGAAGAGAAAGAACACACAUGCACGACACUGCAGGGGCAGAGGAAAGAGAAAGAACACACAUGCACGACACUGCAGGGGCAGAGGAAAGAGAAAGAACACACAUGCACGACACUGCAGGGGCAGAGGAAAGAGAAAGAACACACAUGCACGACACUGCAGGGGCAGAGGAAAGAGAAAGAACACAGAUGCACGACACUGCAGGGGCAGAGGAAAGAGAAAGAACACACAUGCACGACACUGCAGGGGCAGAGGGAAGAGAAAGAACACACACGCACGACACUGCAGGGGCAGAGGGAUGGCAUUUUCAGGAUGGGAGCAAGGAACAUUUCAUGGAGUACGCAUUGGAUUUGAGCUUGCCCUUGAGGAUCUGCACUACAGAAAGAAGCUCUAGAGCCCGGAUGAUGUCCAGACAAGGCUGGUUUCCGGUGAGAACGCCCUUUGGGUCCUUUCUCACGAUAUGUCACAUGACCUUUCCUCAGUACAGAGAGCAGAGAGGAGGCCAUCCCGCAGGCAUCUUUUCUUCUAAGGAUACUGCUCCUAUCAGGUUAGGACCCCACUCUGAUGACCUCAUUUGACCUUAACUACUUCCUCAGUGGCCCCACCUCCAAAUGCAGCCACACUGGGGGUUAGGACUUCAACAUGUCAAUUCUGGGGGAUAUAACAUGCAGUUCCUAACAGGGCCUGAGGUCUAAGGCUGAAAACAGGGAGACCACUCAGAGGGGGCUGUGAUGGUCUGAGAAGAAUGAAUGGGAUUGGGUGGG